rnacentral:rRNA from 1 species
AUUGAACGCUGGCGGCAGGCCUAACACAUGCAAGUCGAACGAGUGGCGGACGGGUGAGUAAUGUCUGGGAAACUGCCUGAUGGAGGGGGAUCACUACUGGAAACGGUAGCUAAUAACGCAUACAAUCAGAUGUGCCCAGCUGGGAUUGGCUAGUUGGUGGGGUAACGGCUCACCAAGGGGAAGAUCCCUAUCUGGUCUGAGAGGAUGACCAGCAACACUGGAACUGAGACACGGUCCAGCCUCCUACGGGAGGCAGCAGGGGGGAAUAUUGCACAAUGGGCGCAAGCCUGAUGCAGCCAUGCCGCUUGUAUGAAGAAUGCCUUCGGGUUGUAAAGUACUUUCAUCGGGGAGGCGUUACCCUCAGAAGAAGCACCGGCUAACUCCGUGCCAGCAGCCGCGGUAAUUC